UGGGGUUUAGCCAAGCGGAAAGGCGGAGGACUUUGACUCCUCAAUGCACUGGUUCGAAUCCAGUAACCCCAGCCA
rnacentral:tRNA from 1 species